UGCAAUAUGGAGACAGAAGUUGCCUUGCUUGCCAAUAUCUAGAUGGGAAGGUCCUGAGCAAAGGAAAUUAUAUUGUUAUUCCAGGGUCAGAGUCAGAAAAAACAGCUCCACCAUGCCAAUGAAUUUGGAGGAUAUCAACAUCAGAAUGGCUGUUUGUGAUAAUGAUGGUGAAAACAUAGUUAUAUUUAUAAGACACCCUCAGGGAUACUGGGUAUUCACAGGAGCUACAGAGGAGAAAUAUAACAUGUCCCUGUCCAAAAAUUGUAUUGUGAUUGAGAGGGUGUUUGGCCUCCUUCAGGUGCCUGGAGAAGUCUGGGGUUGCUCUUCAGUAUGACAUAUCUACUUCAGAUGUACUUCAACCUCUUCUUGAAUGAUGGAAGAUUAACAGAUGCAGUGCUCUUAUUUGGUGAAUCAUUCUACAAUGCAGGCAUGAGAUAACUGAAAGAUUUUUCACAGACAGAAAGGGAAAACUAUGAGCUUUACAAUUCAGUGCUAUCAAGAUGUGUUUUUUAUGCUCCGUUUAUUUGCUACAGGAAAACAAUACUUUUCAUUAAGUUACCUGAAGGAAACCAUCUGAACAAAGGGAAGAAUUCUGAUUGGAGGGCUUACUUUAUAAAUAUGUAUGGUGAACUACCUAUGUGUUUAAUAUUUUCUUCCACUGAUGAAAGCCUUAGGGCUGAAACCGG